ensembl:misc_RNA
AUUUCUCCUGAGGGUACAAUAGAGUCUAAUUUUCUUCAUUAUUCAAUUUGGAUCCUGUUAAGAGAGACAGACAUUCACUGACAAGAAGAACAUUUAAAUUUUGGCAAAUAAGUUCAUUAGUAUUCAGAAAGCUUUGCACCCCUCAUAUUUAAUAAACCUUUCCAUUACAGAGAAAGAAAU